rnacentral:rRNA from 1 species
AGUGAACGCUGGUGGUAGGCCUAACACAUGCAAGUCGAACGGCAGCACAGUAAGAGCUUGCUCUUACGGGUGGCGAGUGGCGGACGGGUGAGGAAUACAUCGGAAUCUACUUUUUCGUGGGGGAUAACGUAGGGAAACUUACGCUAAUACCGCAUACGACCUACGGGUGAAAGCAGGGGAUCUUCGGACCUUGCGUGAUUGAAUGAGCCGAUGUCGGAUUAGCUAGUUGGCGGGGUAAAGGCCCACCAAGGCGACGAUCCGUAGCUGGUCUGAGAGGAUGAUCAGCCACACUGGAACUGAGACACGGUCCAGACUCCUACGGGAGGCAGCAGUGGGGAAUAUUGGACAAUGGGCGCAAGCCUGAUCCAGCCAUACCGCGUGGGUGAAGAAGGCCUUCGGGUUGUAAAGCCCUUUUGUUGGGAAAGAAAAGCAGCAGGUUAAUACCCCGCUGUUCUGACGGUACCCAAAGAAUAAGCACCGGCUAACUUCGUG